rnacentral:rRNA from 1 species
AUUGAACGCUGGCGGCAUGCCUUACACAUGCAAGUCGAACGGCAGCACGGACUUCGGUCUGGUGGCGAGUGGCGAACGGGUGAGUAAUGUAUCGGAACGUACCUUUCAGUGGGGGAUAACGUAGCGAAAGUUACGCUAAUACCGCAUAUUCUGUGAGCAGGAAAGCAGGGGAUCGAAAGACCUUGCGCUGAUUGAGCGGCCGAUAUCAGAUUAGCUAGUUGGUGGGGUAAAGGCCUACCAAGGCGACGAUCUGUAGCGGGUCUGAGAGGAUGAUCCGCCACACUGGAACUGAGACACGGUCCAGACUCCUACGGGAGGCAGCAGUGGGGAAUUUUGGACAAUGGGGGCAACCCUGAUCCAGCCAUGCCGCGUGAGUGAAGAAGGCCUUCGGGUUGUAAAGCUCUUUCGGCCGGGAAGAAAUAGCAUAGGCUAAUACCCUGUGUGGAUGACGGUACCGGAAGAAGAAGCACCGGCUAACUACGUG